GACGAACGCUGGCGGCGUGCUUAACACAUGCAAGUCGAGCGGUAAGGCCCUUUCGGGGGUACACGAGCGGCGAACGGGUGAGUAACACGUGGGUGACCUGCCCUCAGCUCUGGGAUAAGCCUGGGAAACCGGGUCUAAUACCGGAUAUGACUCCAUGACGCAUGUUGUGGGGUGGAAAGCCUUGUGCGGCUGAGGAUGGGCCCGCGGCCUAUCAGCUUGUUGGUGGGGUGAUGGCCUACCAAGGCGACGACGGGUAGCCGGCCUGAGAGGGCGGUCGGCCACACUGGGACUGAGACACGGCCCAGACUCCUACGGGAGGCAGCAGUGGGGAAUCUUGCGCAAUGGGCGAAAGCCUGACGCAGCGACGCCGCGUGAGGGAUGACGGCCU
rnacentral:rRNA from 1 species